rnacentral:rRNA from 1 species
GGGAGGUAGUGACAAUAAAUAACAAUACGGGGUUCUUUUGGAUCACGUAAUUGGAAUGAGUACAAUUUAAAUCUCUUAACGAGGAACAAUUGGAGGGCAAGUCUGGUGCCAGCAGCCGCGGUAAUUCCAGCUCCAAUAGCGUAUAUUAAAGUUGUUGCAGUUAAAAAGCUCGUAGUUGAAUUUCGGGAUCAAUACGUCGGUCGUGCCUCGGUACGUACUAACGUCAUUGAUUUCUCCCUUCUGACGAGCCGUGAUGUCAUUCAUUUGGUGUUACGGGGAGUCAGGACUGUUACUUUGAAAAAUUAGAGUGUUUAAAGCAGGCUAACGCUUGAAUACAUUAGCAUGGAAUAAUGAAAUAGGACGUUAAUCCUAUUUUGUUGGUUUCUAGGAUCGACGUAAUGAUUAAUAGGGAUAGUUGGG